GCCAAAAGUGCUCAGACAGGAAAAGGCCAAAGCCUAGGGCUAUGCAGAGAGGCCAGGAUCUGGGCUUCAGCCAGCUACUCCCUAUUUUUCCUCAAUAGCCCCAGGCCGUCCGUCCCUCUGUGUUGGUUCUGUGGCUCAGCUUCAUUUCCUGACGUUUUGUGAGGCUCAGGCCUAUGUGACCUUUGGGGCUUGCCAGCUCCCUCAACCUCCUCUCCUCAUCCCCCUAUGGUCACACAAACUCAGAAACUUCAACCAGCUUUGUGUGAUUGAUCAGCCUCAGGGGAUGAGCUGACCAGAGUUGCUGGGUAUUAGGAUUACAGGCAUGGGCCACCACCUCUGCUUCCACCCUAAGAUCUUAGCGGACCUGGUCCUUUAAGAGAUGGCACCCACAUUAGAGAAGAAGGGCGCACGAUUCUGAAAAUAAGCCUGUCCUGGAACUCACAGAGACCCGCCUGCCUCUGCCUCCUGAGUGCUGGGAUUAAAGGCAUGCGCCACCAAUGCCCGGCUGUCUGAUGAUAAAUGCAAUGCUUGAGAAUCACGGUCAAGCGGAGCGCAGUCUGCUGGCCUAAUGCACCUCCAAGCAGGAAGGGGAGACAGGAUAGGACCACCGAGGGGUCACCCUCCCAAGCCUCCGUGUUGCACUGGGAUACUAGCCGCUGUCACGCAGCUUUUGUCAGGGCAGGAACACAGCAAGGUGUCUGGAGGCUGGGGCCAUCGAGGGACACUCUGUACAAGCUGUUCCACUCAGGGUGUCUGGAGGCUGGGGCCAGCGAGGGACACUCUGUACAAGCUGUUCCGCUCAGGGUGUCUGGAGGCUGGGGCCAGCGAGGGACACUCUGUACAAGCAUGGACACUGUAUCUGAGCCAGAUCUGCAGGUGGUGACAGCCUGGCUUCGGGCCUUCUUUACAGGCGUGCCCUAGGAGCCCACUGGCUCCUGUAUGCAUCUCAGUCUUCCCAGGGGCUCCGUAGAGCACGGAGCACUUGGCCAUCUUAGGCUUGAUGCAGUAGGUCUGUCCUUCUGCCCCAGGACCCCACUUGGAGCACUGGGGAAUUGCUACUGGGUGCUGCAGGCCAGCACUGAUUGGAUUGGAUCUGAACAAUCCCUAAAGGCAACGUGAAAGAAAUAACCCUCUCUCCUCUCCUAUCCCGUGGCUGGAGAGGCAGGCACUAUGUGGAGUCGGGAGAAGCCUGAAGAGCCCGUGAGCUGGUACAAGCUGAGCAGUGGUCCCGGGGAGCCCUUCUGGGUGAUGGAAGACAGGCCAUCCACACAGGUUGUGAGGCAGUGGUGCCUCUUCAGAUUCGGGAGAUUCACAGACACUCUGGCUGCCUGGGUAGAUACAUGAAGAUCACCGGUGCCAGUUUCAGUACAAGGCCAGAGUGGGGGACAAAAUCACAAGCUCUCAACUCUGUCCUUUUUCAAGAGAAAAAGCCUGCAUUUCUAUAGCAGAGUGACUUCAUUGUGGCCUAAGAACCCGAGCCUGUCAGGACAGGUAGUCUCUGUGAGGCUCCUCACUGUCCUCACAGCAGUCCCUUUGUGGGGCAGGAGAGAUGGUGGCCUCCUGCCAGUCUCCUGGAUACUUGAGGACACCAGUAGUCCAUCAUGACGUUCCCAAGCCUUGGUUUGGGGAUAUCAGGUCACCUGAAGACGGGUGGGUGGGAAGGGGACUAACGGGACUUUGUACAUGAGUGUCCUCCACUCCUGUUUCCGCCUUCUUCAUUCAGAGGCAUCCAGAGCUCUAGGGUGGGGCCAUCAGGUGACUCUCAGAUGCAAGUCAUAUUCAGGGGCUUGGUAGGACAAGUGAAGAGCAGCAUCAUUUUAAAUGCUAGAAAAUGUACUGAAUGAAUGAAUGAAUGAAUGAACGAACGAACGAACAAACAAACAAACAAAACAAACAAACAAAUAAAUAAAUAAAUAAGGGUCUGCAUUGCUC
ensembl:lncRNA